AUGCCGGAGGUGAUGCGCCAAGACCGAUUAAUUCCUUCUAUGCCAUCCCACAGAACCAGGUCAUGGCGGUUACAAAAGUCUACGCACGACUACUACGAGCCAAGUUAUUUCUUAUGCAAGGCAGCCCAUCGACAAAAACCUUCUGCAGUGGUUACUGCAGCAGGUACCCUUUAUGAUGCACUCCUCAAAGACGUCUCCAGCAGCUCUCCCGAGGUCCGCCACCACGUCUGCAGUAACCACUGCAGAAGGUUUCAACCUCCGCCUCACAGCUGGUACGGCAUUGCGUUUCGCACUCGCUGCAAUAAGGCCCCAGGCCCUCCAGGGAAGACGUGA
rnacentral:rRNA from 1 species